GCUCAGCGAAAAGCUACACUUUAUGAUUAUUAUUAUUAUUGGUAUUUAUAUAGCGCCAACUAAUUCCACAGCGCUUUACAAUAUUGUGAAAGGAGGACACAUUUACAAUAAAUGAGACAAUUACACAGUGAACAAUAGGUAGACGAGGGCCCUGCUCAAACAAGCUUACAGUCUAGAGGUUUAAAGCUAAUCACGAUCAUGCACGAAUGGACUCUCCCAUAUUCAUGAUGACUGACUCUCUUUGUAUCCAGGUUUGUCUAUCAUUUCAUACACGGGAUCCUCAUUUAUCUCAUUGUAAAUUUUCAGAAUUUCGUUUUCAGUUGUUCUUAAAUCAAGUACACACUGAUGCAAAAAGAUAUACUGCUCCUAAAACACAAAUUAAAGGAUUAGUGUCUGUCCCUAUUCAUUUAUCCUGCAGCCUUAUCUUAAUCACACAAACAGUACUGCACUUCAAAAUGUGUACAUGUAAAUUUCACACACUUAAUUUGAAUUUGUGGAUUUGCAUCUAUCCUAGGUAAAAGAAAACCUAAAUAGAUACCCCAUAUUGGGAAGAGCCUUUUUUGGAUUGUUUUACAUUAUCUUAAUCAAAAAUCAUAUCAUCAAUAGUAUCACGACAAUGCCAAAGGUAGCAAUCUCAUGUUUUUAUAUACAACAAAAAUAAUG